rnacentral:rRNA from 1 species
UACGGGGGGAGCAAGCGUUGUUCGGAUUUAUUGGGCGUAAAGAGCUCGUAGGCGGUUUGUCGCGUCUGCCGUGAAAGUCCGGGGCUCAACUCCGGAUCUGCGGUGGGUACGGGCAGACUAGAGUGAUGUAGGGGAGACUGGAAUUCCUGGUGUAGCGGUGAAAUGCGCAGAUAUCAGGAGGAACACCGAUGGCGAAGGCAGGUCUCUGGGCAUUAACUGACGCUGAGGAGCGAAAGCAUGGGGAGCGAACAGG